rnacentral:rRNA from 1 species
GUUCCAGGUAAAUCCGGUUCACUUUAACACUGAGGCGUGACGACGAGGCACUACGGUGCUGAAGCAACAAAUGCCCUGCUUCCAGGAAAAGCCUCUAAGCAUCAGGUAACAUCAAAUCGUACCCCAAACCGACACAGGUGGUCAGGUAGAGAAUACCAAGGCGCUUGAGAGAACUCGGGUGAAGGAACUAGGCAAAAUGGUGCCGUAACUUCGGGAGAAGGCACGCUGACACGUAGGUGAAGUGAUUUACUCAUGGAGCUGAAGUCAGUCGAAGAUACCAGCUGGCUGCAACUGUUUAUUAAAAACACAGCACUGUGCAAACACGAAAGUGGACGUAUACGGUGUGACGCCUGCCCGGUGCCGGAAGGUUAAUUGAUGGGGUCAGCGCAAGCGAAGCUCCUGAUCGAAGCCCCGGUAAACGGCGGCCGUAACUAUAACGGUCCUAAGGUAGCGAAAUUCCUUGUCGGGUAAGUUCCGACCUGCACGAAUGGCGUAAUGAUGGCCAGGCUGUCUCCACCCGAGACUCAGUGAAAUUGAACUCGCUGUGAAGAUGCAGUGUACCCGCGGCAAGACGGAAAGACCCCGUGAACCUUUACUAUAGCUUGACACUGAACAUUGAGCCUUGAUGUGUAGGAUAGGUGGGAGGCUUUGAAGUGUGGACGCCAGUCUGCAUGGAGCCGACCUUGAAAUACCACCCUUUAAUGUUUGAUGUUCUAACGUGGACCCGUUACCCGGGUUGCGGACAGUGUCUGGUGGGUAGUUUGACUGGGGCGGUCUCCUCCUAAAGAGUAACGGAGGAGCACGAAGGUUGGCUAAUCCUGGUCGGACAUCAGGAGGUUAGUGCAAUGGCAUAAGCCAGCUUGACUGCGAGCGUGACGGCGCGAGCAGGUGCGAAAGCAGGUCAUAGUGAUCCGGUGGUUCUGAAUGGAAGGGCCAUCGCUCAACGGAUAAAAGGUACUCCGGGGAUAACAGGCUGAUACCGCCCAAGAGUUCAUAUCGACGGCGGUGUUUGGCACCUCGAUGUCGGCUCAUCACAUCCUGGGGCUGAAGUAGGUCCCAAGGGUAUGGCUGUUCGCCAUUUAAAGUGGUACGCGAGCUGGGUUUAGAACGUCGUGAGACAGUUCGGUCCCUAUCUGCCGUGGGCGCUGGAGAACUGAGGGGGGCUGCUCCUAGUACGAGAGGACCGGAGUGGACGCAUCACUGGUGUUCGGGUUGUCAUGCCAAUGGCACUGCCCGGUAGCUAAAUGCGGAAGAGAUAAGUGCUGAAAGCAUCUAAGCACGAAACUUGCCCCGA